AUCGGUUAGGGUGAGCGGGAUGUAAGUCAGAUGUGAAAUCCCGGGGCUUAACCCCAGAGCUGCAUCUGAAACUAUGUUUCUUGAGUGCCGGAGAGGAAAGCGGAAUUCCUAGUGUAGCGGUGAAAUGCGUAGAUAUUAGGAGGAACACCAGUGGCGAAGGCGGCUUUCUGGACGGUAACUGACGCUGAGGCGCGAAAGCGUGGGGAGCGAACAGGAUUAGAUACCCUGGUAGUCCACGCUGUAAACGAUGGAUACUAGGUGUAGGAGGUAUCGACCCCUUCUGUGCCGGAGUUAACACAAUAAGUAUCCCACCUGGGGAGUACGGUCGCAAGGUUGAAACUCAAAGGAAUUGACGGGGGCCCGCACAAGCAGUGGAGUAUGUGGUUUAAUUCGAAGCAACGCGAAGAACCUUACCAAGGCUUGACAUACAGUGGAAUAUGUCAGAGAUGACAUAGCCCUUUGGGGCUGCUGUACAGGUGGUGCAUGGUUGUCGUCAGCUCGUGUCGUGAGAUGUUGGGUUAAGUCCCGCAACGAGCGCAACCCUUGUUGCUAGUUGAUAACAUUAAGAUGAUCACUCUAGCGAGACUGCCGGUGAUAAAUCGGAGGAAGGUGGGGACGACGUCAAAUCAUCAUGCCCCUUAUGUCUUGGGCUACACACGUACUACAAUGGCUGUUACAGAGGGAAGCUAAGCCGCAAGGCGGAGCAAAUCCCCAAAAACAGUCCCAGUUCAGAUUGUGGGCUGAAACCCGCCCACAUGAAGUCGGAAUUGCUAGUAAUGGCAGGUCAGCAUACUGCCGUGAAUACGUUCCCGGGCCUUGUACACACCGCCCGUCACACCAUGAGAGUCUGCAACACCCGAAGUCGAUAGUCUAACCGAAAGGGGGACGUGCCGAA
rnacentral:rRNA from 1 species